AUGCCGAACAACAGAAAACAAGCUGAACAGAGACUCAUUGCACUCUCAAAACGUUUCACACAAGAUCAUGACUUUCACAAACAGUACGUCACAUUUAUGGAUAAAGUAAUAAACGAAGGCUAUGCUAUAAGAGUACCAGAGAAAGACAACGGUCAAAAUGAUGGUAGUAUCUGGUAUUUACCACAUCAUGGUGUAUUUCAUCCAAAGAAAAUGAAAUUACGAGUUGUAUUCGAUUGUGCAGCUAGAUUCAAAGGGACAUCAUUAAAUGAUCAAUAACUUCAAGGACCAAACCUGACAAACACCCUCAUUGGUACGCUGAUUCGCUUCAGACAGGAAGAAAUUGCAAUCAUGGGAGACAUUGAUAGUAUGUUUUACCAAGUCCGUGUGCCUUCUCAUGAUUCUAACUUUCUUAGAUUUCUUUGGUGGGAAAAUGGUGAUCAUUCGAAACAGCCUGUAGAGUACAAAAUGGUAGUUCAUCUCUUUGGUGCCACCUCUUCGCCAAGUUGCGCAAACUAUGCGCUUAGAAAAACUGCAUCAGAGCUAAAGGGUACAUUUGACAAUCAAGUUGUUGACACUGUUUUGAAGAAUUUUUAUGUAGAUGAUUGUCUAAAAUCAGUUUCAAGCACAAACAAGGCUAUUGCUUUAAUCAGUAACAUACAAAGUUUAUUAAAACAGGGUGGUUUUCGCAUAGCAAAAUGGAUUAGUAACGACAGAGAUGUGAUUAAUUAUGUUUCCUGUUGAAGAAGCGAGCUAAGAAAUAAAGGACUUAGAUUUAGAUCAAGACUCUUUACCAAUAGAUAGAGCAUUAGGCGUUACAAUGGUGCGUGGACUCGGAUAAAUUUCAUUUCAACAUCGAUGUAAAAGACAAACCAGCAACAAGGCGUGGUAUCUUAUCAAUGACAAGUAGUGUUUUUGAUCCGCUUGGAUUUCUAGCGCCGUUCUGUCUAGUUGGCAAAAGUAUUCUACAAGAACUUUGUAGGCUCGGUAUUGGAUGGGAUGAUGCAAUCCCACAAGUAUUAUCUGAAAAGUGGACUCAAUGGCUUUGUGACCUUGAAAAACUGUCCAGAAUUUAAAGUAAACCGAUGUUUAAAACCGUCAGGUUUUGGUGAAAUAGUUGCCGCUGAUUUGCAUCACUUUGCAGAUGCGAGCGAAAUUGGAUAUGGUGUAGUAAGUUACUUGCGCAUUGAGAACGAAAAGAAGGUAACAAUUAUUGUUCAUUCAUCAUGGGAAAGUCACGAGUCACACCUCUGAAACAAGUUACAAUUCCAAGGUUAGAGUUAACCGCAGCUACAGUAGCCGUGAGAACUAACAAAAUGAUUUUGAAAGAAUUAGAGAUACCUGUACAGCGAUCUUAUUUCUGGACAGAUAGUAUGACAGUUUUACGAUAUAUUUAAGAAUACUACAUCACGAUUUCAUACAUUUGUAGCCAAUAGACUUGCAGUUGUUAUACAUGAAGGCUCUAAUAUCUUUUGACUGGCGUUACAUUAGUACCAAAUUGAAUCCCGCAGACCUAGCCUCAAGAGGUGUUUCCGCAGAAGGUCUUCUUAGAAUGGAUCAAUGGAUUGUUCCUCCUGACUUUCUAUGGAAAGAUGAAGACUGUUGGCCGAAGCCAUCUUCAGAAAAUCAUGGAACAAUAUGUGCAGACGACCCUGAAGUUAGACAAGCAACUGUGCGAACAAUCAUUAAAACUGAAAUUCCGGAUAACAGUUCUUUGGGAGUCGAGAAACUCAUUGCGUAUUUCUCAUCUUGGAUGUCGUUAAAGCGAAGUGUAGCAUGGAUACUUAAAGUUCGUAAGGAGUUACUUAGACGUGUCAGUAAUAAGAAAGAAGAUAACAAAAUGACACUUGUUAAGGGAUCGGAUUCGAAAGAUACUAAACGAAUAUCACUUCAGGAUUUAAAAGACGCCGAACAUUCAAUUUUAGUUUACGUGCAGAGACAAGAAUUCACUGAUGAGAUUAACACUCUUUCCGGUAACAAAAAACAGUCAAGGCUACAAGUAAUAUCCGGAAACUCGACCCAAUUUUAGAUGGUGAUCUUUUACGUGUAGGAGGACGUUUAAUAGAGUCAAAACUGCCGGAAAAAUGUAAACAUCCGAUUAUAUUACCAAAGGGUCACCACAUCUCUGAAUUGAUUCUUAGACAAAAACACAUGUAUUUACAACACAGUGGUAGAAAUCAUUUGCUAGCUCACCUUCGUGAAACUUAUUGGUUGAUAAAUGCACCCUCAGCUGUGAGAAAAUUGAUAUCAAAAUGUGUUGUGUGUCGUCGCUUAAGUGCGCCCGUAGGUGAACAAAAGAUGGCUAAUUUGCCAUCAGAUCGUAUUACGCCGGAUGAACCACCUUUCUCGAGAGUAGGAGUAGAUUAUUUUGGUCCUUUUGAAGUGAAACAACGUAGAUGUCGUAUCAAACGCUAUGGUGCGAUUUUUACUUGUCUGUCUAGUAGAGCUAUUCAUUUGGAGGUAGCUGCAUCCUUAGAUACAAGUUCAUAUAUCAAUGUUUUACGACGAUUCAUUGCUCGUCGUGGUCAAGUAGAAAAGAUCAGAUCUGACAACGGCACGAAUUUCGUUGGCGCAGAGCGCGAACUUAAGAGCGCAUUAAGUGAAUGGAAUUUGAAUCAAAUUGAGAAUGCGAUGCUACAAAAGAACAUAGAUUGGCAGUUUAAUCCUCCGGCAGGUUCGCAUUUUGGAGGUGUAUGA
rnacentral:sRNA from 1 species